UUAUUUUGUAUCAGUUAUACAAAAAAGAACAUAAAUCAGCAAGUUUGAACAAAGAGAAAAAGAAGAAGAUCUUCAACAUGAUGAAGCUGCUCCUUUUGACAAUUACUUCACUCACAAUAUGUUCUGCUAUUUUUGCGGAAAAUAGCAUCCAUGAAAAUGCUUCCCAAAUAUCGUUUCUCGAAGACAGAGAGAAAAUAGCGGACUACACGAAAAAAGGCAACAGAAAAAUGGUACAUAAAACGGAAGUAGAAGAGGACAACAUUUCUAAACGUCAGUGCUGCGGAAUGUGGGGAAAGAGAUCUAAAAAACAAAAAGGCUCAUCUUCUAAUGUCAAGUCCAUUUAUUCGCCGAAAAAUAAAGCAGAAAACCUUAGAAUGCAGAAACUAGGAUUUGUAUUAAGUCAAAAGGAUGAAUUACUUAAAAAUUUAUUACUUGGUCUGCUUGAGAAACAAGAUAAAGUAACAGUCUAAUGAAUUGUGCAUCAAAAAACAGUUAAGCACUUAAAUAUUUCAGGAAAAUGUAUGAACUAAACAUAAAUUGUAACUAAAAAAAUAAAUCAGAUAAUAAAAAUACUAUUCUAAGAAAAUUAUUAAACUACUAAUCAAAAUUUAAGGUAAAAUCACAGCAAUGAUACAGUUGAAUUUUUGUCAAAAAAAGCAUAAAAUAAAAAUAUAAAUUCAUGAUA